rnacentral:pre_miRNA from 12 species
CCUGCCAAGCUUUACAAAAAGGUCACAAUGAACAUUCAUUGCUGUCGGUGGGUUUAACUAUGUGGACAAGCUCACUGAACAAUGAAUGCAACUGUGGCCCCACAUUGUGCAGUUGCCGUUG